AUGAAAGCUCAGGAAGACAAGCAUCGUUCUGAGAGAGUGUUUCAACCAGGCGAUUGGGCAUAUCUGAAACUUCAACCAUAUAUGCAGCAGUCGGUUGCUCGUCGCACUAACCACGAAUUGGGUUUCAAAUACUUUGGUCCAUUUCAAGUAUUGGAGCGAAUUGGUGAAGUUGCUUAUUGCCUUCAAUUACCUACAACUAGUAAGAUGCACCCCAUGGUUCAUGUUUUCUUACUCAAGCCCGCCACACAACCAAAUGAUGGUGCCAAUCCACCUGAAGAGCUUCAGUACGUGCAACAAUUGGCCGUGUCAUCCAAGCUUGCGCAAGUCCUGGCGUCUCGAUUGGUGGACGUCGGAGGACGCACACGCAAGCAAUAG
rnacentral:rRNA from 1 species